rnacentral:rRNA from 1 species
ACGGGUGCGGAACACGUACGCAACCUUCCCAGAACUGGUGAAUAGCCUUUCGAAAGAGAGAUUAAUACACCGUAACUUAAUGAAGUGGCAUCACUUUAUUAAUAUAGUUCCGACGGUUCUGGAUGGGCGUGCGCCUGAUUAGGUAGUUGGCGGGGUAACGGCCCACCAAGCCUACGAUCAGUAACUGGUGUGAGAGCACGACCAGUCACACGGGCACUGAGACACGGGCCCGACUCCUACGGGAGGCAGCAGUAAGGAAUAUUGGUCAAUGGACGCAAGUCUGAACCAGCCAUGCCGCGUGGAGGAUGAAGGUCCUCUGGAUCGUAAACUUCUUUUAUCGGAGAAGAAACCCAGACAUUCUUGUUUGGUUGACGGUACCCGAUGAAUAAGCACCGGCUAACUCCGUGCCAGCAGCCGCGGUAAUACGGAGGGUGCAAGCGUUAUCCGGAUUCACUGGGUUUAAAGGGUGCGUAGGUGGGCUAGUAAGUCCGUGGUGAAAUCUCUGAGCUUAACUCGGAAACUGCCGUGGAUACUAUUAGUCUUGAAUCUCGUGGAGGUAAGCGGAAUAUGUCAUGUAGCGGUG